GCAAGAAGAAGCCACUGAAACAGCCCAAGAAGCAGGCCAAGGAGAUGGACGAGGAAGAUAAGGCUUUCAAGCAGAAACAAAAAGAGGAGCAGAAGAAACUCGAGGAGCUAAAAGCGAAGGCCGCGGGGAAGGGGCCCUUGGGUAAGUGGAAUUAAGAAAUCUGGCAAAAAGUAAGCUGUUCCUUGUGCCUGAGGAGAUGGUGACCCUUUAUUUCAUCUGUAUUUAAACCUCUCUAUUCCCUGCCAUAACAUCUUUUGCCACGUAUAGCUGGAAUUAAGUGUUGUCUUGGAGCUGUUGUACAUUUAAGAAUAAACUUUUGUAAAAAAAGAAAAAUCUUACAGUGGCUCAUCAUCUCUUUAGUUGUUUUCACUAAGUCGUUCCUACCAUAACUGUGAAUUUAAAGUAAAACCAGCUCAGAAUCUUGCCAGAGUCUGUUCUUUGGUCCUUGUUCUACCCUAAACUUUGUAUCACCUGAAAUUAAACCAACUCAU
rnacentral:lncRNA from 1 species